UACGGAGGGGACGAGCGUUGUCCGAAGUUACUGGGCGUAAAGCGCGCGUAGGCGGGUUGGCAAGUCUGCUGUGAAAGCCCGGGGCUUAACCCCGGAGGGUCGGUGGAUACUGCCAGUCUUGAAGGUGCUAGGGGGAGAUGGAAUUACCGGUGUAGCAGUGAAAUGCGUAGAUAUCGGUAGGAACACCAGUGGCGAAGGCGGUCUCCUGGGGCACUCUUGACGCUGAGGCGCGAAAGCUGGGGGAGCGAACGGG
rnacentral:rRNA from 1 species